UACGGAGGAUGCGAGCGUUAUCCGGAUUUAUUGGGUUUAAAGGGUGCGUAGGCGGAAUAUCAAGUCAGCGGUAAAAAUUCGGGGCUCAACCCCGGGGCUGCCGUUGAAACCGGAGCGCUAGAAUUCCGAUGCCGUCGGAGGAAUGUGUGGUGUAGCGGUGAAAUGCAUAGAUAUCACACAGAACACCGAUUGCGAAGGCAUCUGACGAAUCGGAGAUUGACGCUGAUGCACGAAAGCGUGGGUAUCGAACAGG
rnacentral:rRNA from 1 species